rnacentral:lncRNA from 1 species
GCCGUGGCCACCCUUCGCUGCGUCUUCUGCCGUUCCCUUGUCCUCUACCUCUGUCUGUCGGUCUCCGGGCCUUCCACCCGCCGGCUGUUUCUCUUUUGGUCUCCCUCUCUGUGUCUCCCCAUCUUUCUCCCUCUCUGUGUUUUUAUCUCUGUCUCUCCCCGGCGUUCUGUUAUCUGUCUGUCCCAUUCUCUCUGCCCCUCUGCCCCGAGGCCUUCUGCCUCUGUGUCUCUGUCCCCUGGGCCUCUCCCAUGGCGGGGGUUCAGCCUGCCCCUCACUGGCUCCACGUGGGGUCCCAGCUUAAGCUGAGCAUCAGCUUCCCCAGCCCAGCAGCCUCGGGCCUCCGUUCUCUCCCCGCUGGGGACCCCAGGGUCCUGGCCCCUUCUAAGGAAACCAAGGAAGCUCUGGGGCCGGGCCAUGCCUCCUAAAUGGUUUUGGGGAAAGCUCCAAAACAGAGAAGUGCCUCAAGAUGUCCGGUGCUGGCCCAGGUGUUGGGGGAGGGGGCGGGGAGGGCUCCUGCAGCAGCUCCUGCUGGUGUGCUGUGGCCAGGUCAGAAACGGGAGCCACUCUGAAGUAAUCUCAGCCUUGGGGACAGCCAAGGAGAGAGUCUGGUUUGUGCUUGACUAGUUCCAGACCAGCCACCAUAGAGUCCAGACAACUGCUUUUCUAGAAUUCACUGUGAAUAUGUGUCUAAAGGGUGCUGGACAGGCCACAGAAUGGGUCUUUUUGGCAGAAGAAAUUCAUUCAUUCAUUCAUUUUAGGGCCCAAGAAAUUCAUUCAUUCAUUCACUCAUUCGCUCAGCAAGUAUUUACAGAAUGUUUACUAUGUGCCAGAGAUUGUUCUAAGCAGCAAGGAGAAAGCCAUGAACAAAAUGAAGAUCGUUGUGCUGCAUUCUAGCAGGGAAGGCACAUGGGUGAAAGAUCAUAAUGCACUGGGUCUUGAACUACAGUUUCAGAAACACUGUCAUAAACCAUGGAAGGGGAUAUAAAAGCAUUUGUGGUUUCAUCACCUAGAGAGCUUGCUGGAAGUGGGGCCUGGAGUAGCCUUGGGAGCUGCCACCCUAGGCACACCAAUGGUGACCCCAGUGCCACUCAUCACUGGCCUAUGUGGGCCUGCUCCUCUGUGGUGGACUUGAACCUUACUGCUCCAGCCAUCUCCCCUGCCUGCCUGUCAAGCCUCGCUGUUGACUGUAGUCAUCUUCAUGCCAAAGGCCAGACAUAGCCUGCGAGACUUGGAUGGGACCUCGAGGGUCAUCUCAUCUCUCACUUUAUAUAGGAGAAAACUGAGGCCCAGCCAAGGAAAGUGACUUAUUCAAGGCUGCCCAGUGAAUGGGUGGCAGAACCAGAACUAGAGUUCAGAUGUCCCUCUGUCAGCCCAAGGCUUGUUUUCAUUACGGCCUUGUUAUCUGCCUGAUUGCAAACCCAAUCCCCCCUUCUCUCUAUGUCUUGGGUUCGGGAACCACUCCUGGCCUGAGCAGAGCAGGAAUAAAGCAGCAGGGCCAGUCUAAAGUCUGCACAUACUAACCAUGUGGCCAAAGGCAGGCCUGUUAAUACUUCUAAGCCUCAGUCUCCUUCUCUAUAGAGUGGGAAUGAUGUUUUCUGCUCUUCCUAACACACAGGGUUGCUUUGUAAAUUAAAUGAGAUAAUGUGCAUCAAAUAGGCUUUGAAAAACCUUUUAAAUAUGCUUAAAAUGGAAGGGUUCUUGAGGGUUGGGGUAUGGUUGAAUAGGUGAAGCACAGGGGUUUUCUUAGGUGGGUGAAAUUAUUCUGUAUGAUAUUGCAGGUAGAUACCUGACACUAUGUACUUGUCAAGACCUGUAGAAAUGUAUAGCACAAAGAGUACAUUUUUACACAAAAUAAAAGAAUCAUUUAGGAGAUCAGAGGAUACGAAGAUGGAAUGCAAAAUGUGACAAAACUAUUUAACUGGAUUAAAAACAUGUAAAACAACUUCACUGAAGUGGGGGAGGGGUGGGAGUUUUUGAUCUAAGCAACUUUGGAAAUGAGUGGAGUCUAUAAGACUAAAGACUAAAGAAACUGUGCCUAAGCACUAUACUCUAGUUGAUAAAGUAGCUUCUCAUGGAGUGUGGUUAACAAUUCCAGUACCACUAUACAUGUGUAUUGGAACUGAAUGAGUAAGUCAAUGGAUAGUGGAUGGUAACAGACAGGUUUCUCACUGUGGGAGUGGAAGGUUACAGACAGGCAAGGGGAGAAGGCUAGAAUGAUCCUUGUGAUAAUUUAUUAGAGUUGUAAUAUUAGUAUGAAAUCAAGUUUAGAUUGCACUCCAUCCAGGGCAACAAGAGCGGAACUCCGUCUCAAAAAAAAAAAGGUACCUCUCCCUCUCCCUCCCCCUCCCCCUCCCCCUCUCCCUCUCCCUACGGUCUCCCUCUCCCUCUUUCCACGGUCUCCCUCUGAUGCCGAGCCAAAGCUGGACUGUACUGCUGCCAUCUCGGCUCACUGCAACCUCCCUGCCUGAUUCUCCUGCCUCAGCCUGCUGAGUGCCUGCGAUUGCAGGCGCGCGCCGCCACGCCUGACUGGUUUUCGUAUUUUUUUGGUGGAGACGGGGUUUCGCUGUGUUGGCUAGGCUGGUCUCCAGCUCCUAACCGCGAGUGAUCCGCCAGCCUCGGCCUCCGGAGGUGCCGGGAUUGCAGACGGUGUCUGGUUCACUCAGUGCUCAAUGGUGCCCAGGCUGGAGUGCAGUGGCGUGAUCUCGGCUCGCUACAACCUCCACCUCCCAGCCGCCUGCCUUGGCCUCCCAAAGUGCCCAGAGUGCAGCCUCUGCCCACCCCGUCUAGGAAGUGAGGAGCGUCUCUGCCUGGCCGCCCAUCGUCUGGGAUGUGAGGAGCCCCUCUGCCUGGCUGCCCAGUCUGGAAAGUGAGGAGCGUCUCUGCCCCGCCGCCAUCCCACCUAGGAAGUGAGGAGUGCCUCUUCCUGGCCGCCAUCCCAUCUAGGAAGUGAGGAGCGUCUCUGCCCGGCCGCCCAUCGUCUGAGAUGUGGGGAGCGCCUUUGCCCCGCCGCCCCGUCUGGGAUGUGAGGAGCGCCUCUGCCCGGCCGCGACCCCGUCUGGGAGGUGAGGAGCGUCUCUGCCCAGCUGCCUCGUCUGAGAAGGGAGGAGACCCUCCGCCCGGCAGCCGCCCCAUCUGAGAAGUGAGGAGCCCCUCCGCCCGGCAGCCGCCCCGUCCGGGAGGGAGGUGGGGGUCAGCCCCCGCCAGGCCAGCCGCCCCGUCUGGGAGGGAGGUGGGGGGGUCAGCCCCCCGCCCGGCCAGCCACCCCGUCCGGGAGGUGAGGGGCGCCUCUGCCCGGCCGCCCCUACUGGGAAGUGAGGAGCCCCUCUGCCCGGCCACCACCCCGUCUGGGAGGUGUGCCCAACAGCCCAUUGAGAACGGGCCAUGAUGACAAUGGUGGUUUUGUGGAAUAGAAAGCGGGGAAAGGUGGGGAAAAGAUUGAGAAAUCGGAUGGUUGCCGUGUCUGUGUGGAAAGGAGUAGACAUGGGAGACUUUUCAUUUUGUUCUGUACUAAGAAAAAUUCUUCUGCCUUGGGAUCCUGUUGAUCUGUGACCUUACCCCCAACCCUGUGCUCUCUGAAACAUGUGCUGUGUCCACUCAGAGUUAAAUGGAUUAAGGGCGGUGCAAGAUGUGCUUUGUUAAACAGAUGCUUGAAGGCAGCAUGCUCGUUAAGAGUCAUCACCACUCCCUAAUCUCAAGUACCCAGGGACACAAACACUGUGGAAGGCCGCUGGGUCCUCUGCCUAGGAAAACCAGAGACCUUUGUUCACUUGUUUAUCUGCUGACAUUCCCUCCACUAUUGUCCUAUGACCCUGCCAAGUCCCCCUCUGUGAGAAACACCCAAGAAUGAUCAAUAAAAAAAAAAAAAAGUAAAAAAAAAAAAAAAAAAGAAAUCAAGUUUAAUAUAGAUACAGAUAGUGACAUAUAGGAAUAUUUAUAUGUUUGUGUAUAUCUGUUGUGAUAUACAUACAGGUUAGUAGAUACACAUGUAUUUCUAUGCUCUGUCAGCUAAGAGGGCCUAGAAGUAAUGACAGCCCAGUAGCUGUGAGCACACUUAGUGCUCAGAUUUUGGCUUCUAAUAUCAUUCUCCAAUUUUAAAAACCCCCACAAAAACCAGGGCUUCUUGUAAAAAUGGCUGAUUCUAGGAUUGGAACAGGAAAUGUACAAGAUGAACCUGGAACAUCUUGUAGUGCCAGAAAGUAAGGAAGAUCUGAGGAAGAAAUGAUGGGAGUAUGUCAAAGGGACACAGGAGACAACUGGUAGAGCUCCAGUGGCUAAAGCUGGAACAAAGUGAGCAAUAAAAUAAAUACAGUAGUAUUGGAUAAUUACCCAAAGUAGAAGAGAAAUAUCCCGGCUCACGCCUGUAAUCCCAGCACUUUGGGAGGCCAAGGCAGGCAGAUCAUGAGGUCAGGAGUUCAAGACCAUCCUGGCUAACAUGGUGAAACCCCAUCUCUACUAAAAAUACAAACAACUAGCCAGGUGUGGUGGCAGGCACCUGUAGUCCCAGCUACUCAGGAGGCUGAGGCAGGAUAAUCACUUGAACCCAGGAGGCAGAGGUUGCAGUGAGCCGAGAUCAUGCCACCGCACUCCAGCCUGGGCAACAGAGCAAGACUCCAUCUAAAAAAAAAGAGAAAUAUCCAUGAGUUUGAACUUAUAUAAAUAAAUGGCUACAUAGAGAAAAGGGGGAGAAGAUACAAAAAUACAGAAUUGCAGAUGAUAUUCACAGAUACUCAAGGAUGAGCAUAGCUCCCUGCUCCUUAAAUGUGGGCUCCACAUAGCAACUUACCUCCAAACAGUAUACACGGAAAGGGGAAGAAAGAAUAACUUCAUAGUGGAGAAACCUGACAAACACUACUUCUGUUAACUGUGAACGCAGUUGACAUCGACAGUGACAGGUCAUGGUGGUGGCAUAUACUCUUGAUAGGAUGUAAUGAAAGUGGCACUUCACCUUUGAGGUCUUGCUCCCUCAAACCCAUAACCUAAAACAUCAGACAAAUCCCAGCUGAGGAACAUUCUACAAAAUACCUGACCAAUACUCCUUGAAAUCAUCAAGAUCAUCAAAAACAAGAAAAGUCUGAGAAACUGUCACAGCCAAGGGAGACCUAAGAAGACAUGAUGGCCAAAUGUAAUGCUGCAUCCUAGAACAGAAAAAGGAUAUUAGGUUAAAAAAAAAAACAACUAAGGAAAUCUGAAUAAAGUAUGAACAUAGUUUAAUAAUAAUGUUAAUCUUGUAGGGCUGAUAUCAAUAGCAGUUUAUUAAUUGUGGCAAAUGUACCGUACUAAAUGUAAGAUGAUGAUAAUAGGGGAAAUUGGGUGUGGAGAAUAUGGGAACUCUCUGUAUUAUCUUUGCCAUUUUUCUUUAAAACUUUUCUAAAGUAAAAAUUUUAUAUCGAAAAUUGAAAGCCUUACAUUGGUAAUUAUUCACAGCUUAUGGCUAAGACAGGUGGAAUUGGGAGAAUGCCCUGGGAAGGUUUCAAGGAAGUACAAGGGAGGAUUUGGGGAACUGCUCAGGGGUGAGAAAUACAGCUUGGGAGACAGGGCGGAGGGGAAGCUCGGUGCACAUCCCAGACUGAGGAGGUGUCAGAGGGAAAGGGUCCUUGGGACAGGGUGUCUUGGGACCCUUUCCUGCCUGGGAGGGCUUCUGGAGGAGGAGGUGAGUGGAUGGGGAGUGACAGCCUGGCUCUUUGCUCUCCUACCUUAUCCUGACCCACCUUGCCACAUCUCUGGGGCCAGCCCUGCUCCUUAUCUGGAGGCAACCCAUCAG